rnacentral:rRNA from 1 species
AGCGAACGCUGGCGGCAUGCUUAACACGUGCAAGUCGCGCGGGUGGUUUCGGCCAUCAGCGGCGGACGGGUGAGUAUCGCGUAGGAAUGUAUCCCGAGGUGGGGGACAACCCUGGGAAACUGGGGCUAAUACCGCAUGGGGCCUGUGGGUCAAAGCCUUAGGGCGCCUUGGGAGCAGCCUGCGUCCGAUUAGGUAGUUGGUGGGGUAAAGGCCUACCAAGCCUGCGAUCGGUAGCUGGUCUGAGAGGACGAUCAGCCACACUGGGACUGAGACACGGCCCAGACUCCUACGGGAGGCAGCAGUGGGGAAUAUUGGACAAUGGGCGCAAGCCUGAUCCAGCAAUGCCGCGUGGGUGAAGAAGGUCUUCGGAUUGUAAAGCCCUUUCGGCGGGGACGAUGAUGACGGUACCCGCAGAAGAAGCCCCGGCUAACUUCGUG